CCAAUAGCGUAUAUUAAAGUUGUUGCAGUUAAAAAGCUCGUAGUUGAAUUUCGGGAUCAAUUUGUCGGUCGUGCCUCGGUACGCACUGGCUUAUUGGUUUCUCCUUUCUGAAGAACCAUGAUGUCAUUUAUUUGGUGUCGUGGGGAAUCAGGACUGUUACUUUGAAAAAAUUAGAGUGUUUAAAGCAGGCUCACGCGUGAAUACAUUAGCAUGGAAUAAUGAAAUAGGACGUUUGAUUCUAUUUUGUUGGUUUCUAGGAUCGACGUAAUGAUUAAUAGGGAUAGUUGGGGGCAUUAGUAUUCAAUUGUCAGAGGUGAAAUUCUUGGAUUUAUUGAAGACUAACUACUGCGAAAGCAUUUGCCAAGGAUGUUUUCAUUAAUCAAGAACGAAAGUUAGGGGAUCGAAGACGAUCAGAUACCGUCGUAGUCUUAACCAUAAACUAUGCCGACUAGGGAUCGGAUGAUGUUAAUUUUUUAAUGACUCAUUCGGCGCCUUACG
rnacentral:rRNA from 1 species